CAGCAGCCGCGGGAAUACGUAGGGUGCAAGCGUUAAUCGGAAUUACUGGGCGUAAAGCGUGCGCAGGCGGUUAUAUAAGACAGAUGUGAAAUCCCCGGGCUCAACCUGGGAACUGCAUUUGUGACUGUAUAGCUAGAGUACGGCAGAGGGGGAUGGAAUUCCGCGUGUAGCAGUGAAAUGCGUAGAUAUGCGGAGGAACACCGAUGGCGAAGGCAAUCCCCUGGGCCUGUACUGACGCUCAUGCACGAAAGCGUGGGGAGCAAACAGGAUUAGAUACCCGUGUAGUCUCUGUCUCUUAUAC
rnacentral:rRNA from 1 species